GACGAACGCUGGCAGCGCGCUUAACACAUGCAAGUCGAGCGAGAACCAGGGCUUCGGCCCUGGGGACAGCGGCGAACGGGUGAGUAACACGUGGGUAAUCCACCCUCGGCACCGGAAUAGCCCGGGGAAACCCGGAUUAAUGCCGGAUGGCCCGCCGGCCCCCAGGGGCUGGACGAAAAGGGAGCUUCGGCCUCCGGACGAGGACGAGCGCGCGACGGAUUCGCUUGUUGGUGGGGUAACGGCCUACCAAGGCUGCGAUCCCUAGCUGGUAUGAGAGGACGAUCAGCCACACUGGGACUGAGACACGGCCCAGACUCCUACGGGAGGCAGCAGUGGAGAAUCUUGCGCAAUGGGCGAAAGCCUGACGCAGCGACGCCGCGUGGGGGAAGAAGGCCUUCGGGUUGUAAACCUCUUUCAGGAGGGACGAAGCCACUCGGGUUAAUAGCCCAGAGGGUGACGGUACCUCCAGAAGAAGCCCCGGCUAACUACGUGCCAGCCGCCGCUGUAAUAC
rnacentral:rRNA from 1 species